rnacentral:rRNA from 1 species
UACGAAGGGGGCUAGCGUUGUUCGGAAUUACUGGGCGUAAAGCGCACGUAGGCGGAUUGUUAAGUCAGGGGUGAAAUCCCGAGGCUCAACCUCGGAACUGCCUUUGAUACUGGCAAUCUAGAGACUGGAAGAGGUUAGUGGAAUUCCCAGUGUAGAGGUGAAAUUCGUAGAUAUUGGGAAGAACACCAGUGGCGAAGGCGGCUAACUGGUCCAGUACUGACGCUGAGGUGCGAAAGCGUGGGGAUCAAACAGG